UACGAAGGGGGCUAGCGUUGUUCGGAUUUACUGGGCGUAAAGCGCACGUAGGCGGUUUGUUAAGUCAGGGGUGAAAUCCCAGAGCUCAACUCUGGAACUGCCUUUGAUACUGGCAAGCUAGAGUCCGGAAGAGGUAAGUGGAACUCCUAGUGUAGAGGUGGAAUGCGCAGAUAUCAGGAAGAACACCAAUGGCGAAGGCAGCUCUCUGGGACGGUACUGACGCUGAGACGCGAAAGCGUGGGGAGCGAACAGG
rnacentral:rRNA from 1 species